rnacentral:rRNA from 1 species
GACGAACGCUGGCGGCGUGCUUAACACAUGCAAGUCGAACGGAAAGGCUCCAGCUUGCUGGAGUACUCGAGUGGCGAACGGGUGAGUAACACGUGGGUAAUCUGCCCUGCACUCUGGGAUAAGCCUGGGAAACUGGGUCUAAUACUGGAUAUGACCUUUCUCCUUAUGGGGUUUGGUGGAAAGUUUUUCGGUGUAGGAUGAGCCCGCGGCCUAUCAGCUUGUUGGUGGGGUGGUGGCCUACCAAGGCGACGACGGGUAGCCGGCCUGAGAGGGUGAUCGGCCACAUUGGGACUGAGAUACGGCCCAGACUCCUACGGGAGGCAGCAGUGGGGAAUAUUGCACAAUGGGCGGAAGCCUGAUGCAGCGACGCCGCGUGAGGGAUGACGGCCUUCGGGUUGUAAACCUCUUUCAGCAGGGACGAAGCGUAAGUGACGGUACCUGCAGAAGAAGCACCGGCUAACUAUGUG